rnacentral:pre_miRNA from 1 species
GUCUNACUCCCUCCGUCCGGAAUUACUUGUCAUCAAAAUGGAUGUGUCUAGAACUAAAAUACAUCUAGAUACAUCCAUUUCAAUGACAAGUAUUUUCGGACGGAGGGAGUACAAG